rnacentral:rRNA from 1 species
GUGCCAGCAGCCGCGGUAACACGUAAGGGGCAAGCGUUGUUCGGAAUUGUUGGGCGUAAAGGGCACGCAGGCGGUUUGGCAAGCUUGGUGUGAAAUACCGUAGCUUAACUACGGAAACGCGCUGAGAACUGCUAGACUUGAGUUCCGGAGAGGAAGCUGGAAUUCCGAGUGUAAGGGUGAAAUCUGUAGAUAUUCGGAAGAACAUCAGUGGCGAAGGCGAGCUUCUGGCCGGAGACUGACGCUGAGGUGCGAAAGCGUGGGGAGCGAACAGGAUUAGAUGCCCUGGUAGUCCACGCUGUAAACGAUGUGCACUAGGUGUUGGAUCGUCAAGAUUCAGUACCAUAGCUAACGCGUUAAGUGCACCGCCUGGGGAGUAUGCCCGCAAGGGUGAAACUCAAAUAAAUUGACGG